GUGAGAGUGCAAAUGAAUAUAUCGAUGAUGAAGAUGCCAGCUGGAAAGUUCGCAGAGCAGCAGCUAAAUGCUUAGCCGCAUUGAUUGUUUCUCGUCCUGAGAUGCUUUCAAAGCUGUAUGACGAGGCUUGUCCAAAACUGAUUGACAGAUUUAAAGAGAGAGAAGAGAAUGUCAAGAUGGAUGUAUUUAAUACUUUCAUCGAGCUCUUGCGUCAAACUGGGAAUGUCACAAAAGGGCAGACUGAUGCAAAUGAAACGAGGUUGUUUGUCUUUCCUAGUAUGAAAG